CCUACGGGAGGCAGCAGUGAGGAAUAUUGGUCAAUGGACGAGAGUCUGAACCAGCCAAGUAGCGUGAAGGAUGACUGCCCUAUGGGUUGUAAACUUCUUUUAUAUGGGAAUAAAACGUUCCACGUGUGGGAUUUUGUAUGUACCAUAUGAAUAAGGAUCGGCUAACUCCGUGCCAGCAGCCGCGGUAAUACGGAGGAUCCGAGCGUUAUCCGGAUUUAUUGGGUUUAAAGGGAGCGUAGGUGGAUUGUUAAGUCAGUUGUGAAAGUUUGCGGCUCAACCGUAAAAUUGCAGUUGAAACUGGCAGUCUUGAGUAGAGUAGAGGUGGGCGGAAUUCGUGGUGUAGCGGUGAAAUGCUUAGAUAUCACGAAGAACUCCGAUUGCGAAGGCAGUUCACUGGACUGCAACUGACACUGAGGCUCGAAAGUGUGGGUAUCAAACAGGAUUAGAUACCCUUGAGUC
rnacentral:rRNA from 1 species